rnacentral:rRNA from 1 species
CACGAAGUUAGCCGGGGCUUCUUCUAUAGGUACCGUCAUUAUCUUCCCUAUCGAAAGGAGUUUACAUCCCAAGGGAUUUCAUCCUCCACGCGGCGUUGCUGCGUCAGGGUUUCCCCCAUUGCGCAAAAUUCCCCACUGCUGCCUCCCGUAGGAGUCUGGACCGUGUUUCAGUUCCAGUGUGUCCGUGCGCCCUCUCAGGCCGGAUACAGAUCAUCGUCUUGGUGGGCCAUUACCCCGCCAACUAACUAAUCUGCCGCGAACUCCUCUCCAAGCGCAUUGCUGCUUUGACUCGUAAGUGUUAUGCGGUAUUAGCUAAGAUUUCUCUCAGUUAUUCCCCAUCGGAGGUAGAUUAUUCACGUGUUACUCACCCGUGCGCCACUUUACUCAGGUAUUGCUACCCUUUCUCGUGCGACUUGCAUGUGUUAGGCACGCCGCCAGCGUUGAUUCUGAGCCAGGAUCAAACUCUA